GUGUCAGCAGCCGCGGUAAUACGUAGGUGGCAAGCGAUACUCGGAAUCACUAGGCGUAAAGCGCAGGUAGGCGGUUUGAUAAGUCUAUUGUGAAAGCUCCCGGCUUAACUGGGAGAGGCCAAUGGAAACUGUCAGGCUAGAGUGUGGUAGAGGAAGAUGGAAUUCCCGGUGUAGCGGUGAAAUGCGUAGAUAUCGGGAGGAAUACCUAUGGCGAAAGCAGUCUUCUGGACCAUCACUGACGCUGAUCUGCGAAAGCUAGGGGAGCAAACAGGAUUAGAUACCCCCGUAGUCC
rnacentral:rRNA from 1 species